UGGGGAAUAUUGCACAAUGGGCGCAAGCCUGAUGCAGCCAUGCCGCGUGUGUGAAGAAGGCCUUCGGGUUGUAAAGCACUUUCAGCGAGGAGGAAGGGUAGUGUGUUAAUAGCACAUUGCAUUGACGUUACUCGCAGAAGAAGCACCGGCUAACUCCGUGCCAGCAGCCGCGGUAAUACGGAGGGUGCAAGCGUUAAUCGGAAUUACUGGGCGUAAAGCGCACGCAGGCGGUUUGUUAAGUCAGAUGUGAAAUCCCCGCUCUUAACGUGGGAACUGCAUUUGAAACUGGCAAGCUAGAGUCUUGUAGAGGGGGGUAGAAUUCCAGGUGUAGCGGUGAAAUGCGUAGAGAUCUGGAGGAAUACCGGUGGCGAAGGCGGCCCCCUGGACAAAGACUGACGCUCAGGUGCGAAAGCGUGGGGAGCAAACA
rnacentral:rRNA from 1 species